GCGGGCGGGGGGCGCCGCGCGGGCCCGGAAACUUUUCCCUGGCGCCGGGAGCGCGCCCAUCUCCGCCCGCGGUCAGUGCUCCCGGCUGCGGCCGCCGCGGCGGAACGGAACCCCGGGAAGGGGGCGCGGGGCGGCAGCGCCCGGGGCUGCCCGCGGCGGGGGUGGCUGCGCCCGGGUCCCCGGCCGCGCGGGAGGCUCGGGCACCCGGCUAGGCGGAGCGCGACGCGCCGAGCCGCGCCAUGGGGGAGGCACCCAGCCCCGCGCCCGCGCUCUGGGACUGGGACUACCUGGACCGCUGCUUCGCCCGCCACCGUGUCUGCAUCUCCUUCGGCCUGUGGAUCUGCGCCGCCUCCUGCUGGAUCGCCGCCCACGCGCUGCUUCUCUAUCUGAGAUGUGCAAAGAAAUGUCGGCAGGGCCAGUCGGCACUGUGCGCCGCGUGCUGCCUCCUGACCAGUCUGUGUGACACCGUGGGGGCUGUCCUAGCCAGACAGCUCACCAUCCAGGUUUUCACUGGUGCCUACCUAGCAGCUAUUGACUUGGUGAACUUUGUGUUCAUUCUAUUCCCAGUCUGUGGAUCCAAAUUCAAGUCUAAUUCAGAUCGGGGCUCCCGAGGCAGGAAGAGGAGGCAGCGGCUCAGGGCCAGUGUAUUUGCCCUGGCUCUGCCGCUGAGCCUGGGCCCGUGCUGGGCUCUCUGGGCCGCUGUCCCAAAGGCUUCAGCCCCCAUCCGAGGGUCGCAGAGGAGGCUACUGGCAAGUGUGCUGCAGGAACAUACCGAACUCCUCGGCUACCUGCUGGGCAGUGUCGCUGCCUUCGGCGCCUGGGCUUCCCGGAUCCCCCCUCUCUCCAGAAUCUGCCAGGGGAAGACGUUUUCCUCCAUCCACCUGUGGACGCGGCUCCUGUCGGCCCUGGCUGGCCUCCUUUACGCCUCGGCCAUUGUGGCCCAUGACCGGCAGCCCGAGUACCUGCUGCGGGCCACACCCUGGUUCCUGACCUCCCUCGGCCGAGCUGCGCUGGACCUUGCGAUCAUUUUCCUUUCAUGCGUGCUGAGAAGCAAGAUGAGACGGGCCUUGGGAUUUGCCACCGAAGCCAGAGAGAGCCCCGACACCCAGGCCCUUUUGACCUGUGCAGAGAAAGAGGAAGAAAACCAGGAGGCGAGGAACGAGGACAAGAGUUCAGAUUGGGUGCCUCUCACCACACUGUCACACCACAAGUCACUGAGGACGAUGGCAGCAAUCAGUCACUACAUGGAGCUGACCGUCGAGCCCGUGCAGCAGGCAGGCUGCGGUGCCACCAGGCUGCCCGGCGACGGACAGACGAGCGCUGGAGAUGCACCCCUGCAGGAGCCCCCCUCAUACCCUCCUAUUCAGGUCAUCCGGGCCCGAGUGUCUUCCAGCAGCUCCUCCGAGGUGUCCUCCAUCAACUCCGACCUGGAGCAGAAGUAUUGGGAGGCCCUAAACUCGGAGCAGUGGGACCCUGAAGAUGUGAACCUUGAAAGACACAAAGACAGCAUGGAGAUGCUCGGAUCCCAGGUGCACAGGGGCUCUUUGAGGGCAGUAGACUUGACCUCUGAUGAUUAACACUAACACCUUUUGGAGCCGGCCCAUCAGCUGUGAGCCCAGUCAGGUGUUUGUCAGUAACUGAGCACGGAUCAAUCUGCUCCAACACCCGUGGCAGGAAUUUAAGCUGCUGCAGAAGCUGCCCAGGAGAGUGAGGAAUCAGGAGCUGUCACUGAACUGGGCUCACCUACAUCAUGGCUUAGCAUGGAGCUAAGACUUUGGGUCCUGUGGACAGACUGGGAUAGGCCCAGAGUUUGCUCUGAAGAUUAGAAGUUCACAGACGGCUCUUGCUUUGUAAAGAUAAGCCUUCAUCCAAAGGACAUUGGACCUUUUCCCUUUAUUCCCUUGAGAUUCAACCACAAACUCAAUACCUGCUAGAUGCCAGGAAUGAGCUCACCUAGCAAAUAGCUAAUGUGUUUGGAUCUCAGCAGAGUCCAUUCUUCAAGACCUGGCUAAGCCCAGGAAAUGAGAGGGGUAGACUCACAUGCUGGGGUGUCUGGGGCACACAGGAACUGACAGUUCUGGCUUCUGCCCUCCAGUCACCCACUCGAGUUAGCUGCUGGCAGUUACAGAUAGAACUGCUCGGUCAAGCGUUUGUGAGCUCACUGGUAUUGCAAGGACACACAAAACAAACUGCUCUGGGUACCAGGACUUCCUCCAAACUGGCAAGGUGUGCACUGAGGCAGGGUUUGCAGGUGAGGGGGACUGUGUGCUUCAGGAGGUAACUAAAUGCAUGCAGAGGAUAAGAGGCAUGAUGGGAGGUGUUAAAUUCAAGCACAACAAUCCCAUUUUUGGACCAUUUUGAUGCUGUGAUGAGUGAUGGGAAGGGUGCAAGGAAUGGGGCUAAGGUGGGAGUAACACUGGGGUGAAUACAUUCUGACUGAAUGAAGUAUCCCACGGUGGAGUACAGUAUGACUCCCAGCACAGUCAUAGAAGUCUGCCACGAGGGAAGCCGGGAGAAAUGCCAAGAAACAGCUCUGCUCCUGGCUGACCCACAACCGUCUGUGUGACUCAGCUGCAGCUGCCCAGUUCCUCCUGAGGAGUAGUGCAAGCAGCACGAAGGGGGUGCCUCGGGGAAGCAGGUUGGAAGUUUUUCAAAGACGGUUGAGGGAGAAAGUAUAGGAAUAAAGAAAGACUCUCACAAUCAGCUCCAUCAUGAAUGGCUCUCUGAGGAUCUCCAUGACACCUGCCAGUAGAAGACCCUGAAAUUCUAAGCCUUUGUGAAGGAAAGAGCUGGAUUACUUGGAACUGCCUUUCAAACAGCUUCCCUAAGUGUGGCUGCAAUCUGAGCUGACUAACUUUGUCAGGCUGCAAAGGGUGGACAGAUUCCAGUUUGUAUGGUAGUGAGAAAAAAAUAGGCCCCAUAUCUUAGCCAGCCCUGAUAAGGUGCCUCGGUGGAUAUGAGUAAUGGUCAGACCCAGGGGAUGAACCGGGGCUAAGAAAGCUGGACAAUGGAAAGUCUGGAGCACCGUGACAAGGAAAUUCUUCCCCUGAAUUGCCUUUUCCUAUUGAGAUAAGAUAGCACACAAUAAAGCGCCAGGCUCAGAAGUGCUGCCGCCAGUCCCAGGGGAAGCAGCCUGCACUCAGGCCUGAGCCCAAGCACGGGAAUGUCUAGCGCUGUCCGCUGUCUGCACCGGGUGGUCUCCAGAGAGCUGGGGUAGGGGGCAAGUCCUCACUCCCACCACUCACCGAUUCCCAGUAUUCUUGUUUGGGAAAAAAAAAGAUUUACCCCUCUUUUACCUGCCUUACUGGAUGGUGGCUGUGAAAACUGAAAACGAACCAUGAAAGGGCCUUUCAAGUCCUAAAUGCCAGAAAGAUACCAGUUAUUAUCAUUACUUCCUCAGCAUGAAGCAAUUCAUUUUGUACGUUUCUGUCUUUCUUUCUUUCUUUUUUUUUUUUUUAAAGAGAUGGGGUCUCGUUAUUUUGCCCAGGCUGGCCUCAG